GACAGAGGGUGCAAACGUUGUUCGGAAUUACUGGGCGUAAAGCGCGUGUAGGCGGCUAAGUAAGUCGGGCGUGAAAUCCCACGGCUCAACCGUGGAAGUGCACUCGAAACUGCAUAGCUAGAGUCCUGGAGAGGAAGGUGGAAUGCUUGGUGUAGAGGUGAAAUUCGUAGAUAUCAAGCGGAACACCGGUGGCGAAGGCGGCCUCUGGACAGUGACUGACGCUGAGACGGCGAAACGUGGGGAGCAAACA
rnacentral:rRNA from 1 species